AGUGAACGCUGGCGGUAGGCCUAACACAUGCAAGUCGAACGGCAGCACAGUAAGAGCUUGCUCUUACGGGUGGCGAGUGGCGGACGGGUGAGGAAUACAUCGGAAUCUACUUUUUCGUGGGGGAUAACGUAGGGAAACUUACGCUAAUACCGCAUACGACCUACGGGUGAAAGCAGGGGAUCUUCGGACCUUGCGCGAUUGAAUGAGCCGAUGUCGGAUUAGCUAGUUGGCGGGGUAAAGGCCCACCAAGGCGACGAUCCGUAGCUGGUCUGAGAGGAUGAUCAGCCACACUGGAACUGAGACACGGUCCAGACUCCUACGGGAGGCAGCAGUGGGGAAUAUUGGACAGUGGGCGCAAGCCUGAUCCAGCCAUACCGCGUGGGUGAAGAAGGCCUUCGGUUGUAAAGCCCUUUUGUUGGGAAAGAAAAGCAGCAGGUUAAUACCCCGCUGUUCUGACGGUACCCAAAGAAUAAGCACCGGCUAACUUCGUG
rnacentral:rRNA from 1 species